AACGAACGCUGGCGGCGUGGAUAAGACAUGCAAGUCGGACGGCAGCGCGGGGGCAACCUGGCGGCGAGUGGCGAACGGGUGAGUAAUAUAUCGGAACGUGCCCUGGAGUGGGGGAUAACGUAGCGAAAGUUACGCUAAUACCGCAUACGAUCCAAGGAUGAAAGCAGGGGACCUUCGGGCCUUGUGCUCCUGGAGCGGCCGAUAUCUGAUUAGCUAGUUGGUGGGGUAAAAGCCUACCAAGGCGACGAUCAGUAGCUGGUCUGAGAGGACGACCAGCCACACUGGAACUGAGACACGGUCCCAGACUCCUACGGGAGGCAGCAGUGGGGAAUUUUGGACAAUGGGGGCAACCCUGAUCCAGCAAUGCCGCGUGUGUGAAGAAGGCCUC
rnacentral:rRNA from 1 species